GCUCAGGUGGCCCAAUCUGGUAAGGCGCUAGCCUGGAAAGCUAGUGGGGCUUGCCCCUUUAGGGUUCAAAUCCCUACCUGGGCG
rnacentral:tRNA from 1 species